rnacentral:lncRNA from 1 species
AAUUAAAGUGAGAAUGCUCCUCAUUGGGCGAGACUUCCCUAUGUACUUUAUACCUUAAAGUAAGUGAGGGCCUGUUUGUUCGCAAUGGGCAUCCUUUUAUUCGUCGGUUUAGCCAGGCAAUCUAUGACUAGGUGACGAAUACUGAAGUUUGAUGUGCUACCACAUCUAGCUUCAAGGCGAAAAAAUGUGAAAAUUAGAGAUAGGAGAGAGUAGUAUGAAAGGAGAAUGCACCUUUAUGGGCUGAGAUUUCCCCUAUGUACCUUGUACUCCAAAGCCAGUGAGGGGCUUGGUCUCUCCAAAUUUGGCAUUCCUGUGUUCAUCGGUUUAGCCAGAAAUACCUAAAAGGCACCCCUUUAGCUGGGUGACGAACACCUAUCUCUCAAUGAGACAGUCAUGGGGAAUCUGAGUUGCCACCCGAGUGUGGUUCAGCUCACCAGCAGGUCCCACAGUUCAAGCUGCAGGCCAGUAUAUCUUUGCAGCCUGAAGACAUCCUACAUUGUUUGGGAUGUAUAUUUGGUCUGUGGAUGUACAUUAUAUUCCAACUUAUUCCCUCCAAGAGUGUUUAACAGACGGACUAUAACUGACAUACCUAAAUCUUAUCUGUUGCUUACUAUCUCUAGCUAUGUUUCCUAAUUCAUUUUAAUUUUCCUAACGUCUUAUCCACAGAUUUUGAUAUUAUUCUCUCAAUCAUUGUUCUAUUUUUAAUGAUUGAGGAUUCUUUCCUACUGUAUGAAUUUAUCUUAUGGUUCUAACUAGAUUCUCUUGUAACUUUUCUUACUAAUUGAAUUUAAAUCUAUUUCUAUUGUGUACCUAUUAAUAUCUUCCUUCAUUUUUAAACUUCUUAUCAUGAUCUAUUCUUCCCUUAAUAUAUGAAGGUGCAUUGGAAAGCACAUCUGUUAUGAUCUCUUCUGUUUUAUAUUAUCUAAUCUAUUACUCAAAUUCUAGUCUAAUCAUCAUCUGUCUAAUCUGUAAAAUGGAGAUCCCUGCUGUCAUCAUAAACAUUGCCGUAAGUAAAUAUGCAAAUAACUAAAUUUAAUCCUUUGGUGUAUUUCAGAUCAUCUGCUAUGGAAUUUUCCGAUGUCCGGCACGUUGUGGUUUUUUCCAUUGCUGAUCAUGUACGUAUCUAUUCAAUACUUUAUGCCUUGUUUCUGUGUCUCUCUUCUUUCAGGCGCUGCAUCAUCCUUCUGGAGUCGUGGAGUCCUCCUGCUUGUCCUUACGCCAGGUGAAAUAUUACAACGGUGGACCGGACUUCAACUCCAAUGGCAUGCAUCUAGUAAUGUAUACUGCUUAUAAUUAUGUGAACUGUAAAGAAGUCUAAUCAUCAUCUGUCUAAUCUGUAAAAUGGAGAUCCCUGCUGUCAUCAUAAACAUUGCCGUAAGUAAAUAUGCAAAUAACUAAAUUUAAUCCUUUGGUGUAUUUCAGAUCAUCUGCUAUGGAAUUUUCCGAUGUCCGGCACGUUGUGGUUUUUUCCAUUGCUGAUCAUGUACGUAUCUAUUCAAUACUUUAUGCCUUGUUUCUGUGUCUCUCUUCUUUCAGGCGCUGCAUCAUCCUUCUGGAGUCGUGGAGUCCUCCUGCUUGUCCUUACGCCAGGUGAAAUAUUACAACGGUGGACCGGACUUCAACUCCAAUGGCAUGCAUCUAGUAAUGUAUACUGCUUAUAAUUAUGUGAACUGUAAAGAAGUCUAAUCAUCAUCUGUCUAAUCUGUAAAAUGGAGAUCCCUGCUGUCAUCAUAAACAUUGCCGUAAGUAAAUAUGCAAAUAACUAAAUUUAAUCCUUUGGUGUAUUUCAGAUCAUCUGCUAUGGAAUUUUCCGAUGUCCGGCACGUUGUGGUUUUUUCCAUUGCUGAUCAUGUACGUAUCUAUUCAAUACUUUAUGCCUUGUUUCUGUGUCUCUCUUCUUUCAGGCGCUGCAUCAUCCUUCUGGAGUCGUGGAGUCCUCCUGCUUGUCCUUACGCCAGGUGAAAUAUUACAACGGUGGACCGGACUUCAACUCCAAUGGCAUGCAUCUAGUAAUGUAUACUGCUUAUAAUUAUGUGAACUGUAAAGAAGUCUAAUCAUCAUCUGUCUAAUCUGUAAAAUGGAGAUCCCUGCUGUCAUCAUAAACAUUGCCGUAAGUAAAUAUGCAAAUAACUAAAUUUAAUCCUUUGGUGUAUUUCAGAUCAUCUGCUAUGGAAUUUUCCGAUGUCCGGCACGUUGUGGUUUUUUCCAUUGCUGAUCAUGUACGUAUCUAUUCAAUACUUUAUGCCUUGUUUCUGUGUCUCUCUUCUUUCAGGCGCUGCAUCAUCCUUCUGGAGUCGUGGAGUCCUCCUGCUUGUCCUUACGCCAGUCUAAUCAUCAUCUGUCUAAUUUGUGAAAUGGAGAUCCCUGCUGUCAUCAUAAACAUUGCUGUAAGUAAAAAUGCUAAUAACUAAAUUUAAUCCUUUUGUGUAUUUCAGAUCAUCUGCUAUGGAAUUUUCCGAUGUCCGGCACGUUGUGGUUUUUUCCAUUGCUGAUCAGGUGUGUAUCUAUUCAAUACUUUAUGCCUUGUCGCUGUGUCUCUCCUUUUUCAGGCGCUGCAUCAUCCUUCUGAAAUCGCGGAGUCCUCCUGCUUGUGUUUACGCCAGGUGAAUUAUUACAACGGUGGAUCAAAUUCAAACACGAUGGCAUACAUUUCUCAAUCAACAAAUCAGAUUAUGUGAACUGUAAUAAAGUCUAAUCAUCAUCUGUCUAAUUUGUGAAAUGGAGAUCCCUGCUGUCAUCAUAAACAUUGCUGUAAGUAAAAAUGCUAAUAACUAAAUUUAAUCCUUUUGUGUAUUUCAGAUCAUCUGCUAUGGAAUUUUCCGAUGUCCGGCACGUUGUGGUUUUUUCCAUUGCUGAUCAGGUGUGUAUCUAUUCAAUACUUUAUGCCUUGUCGCUGUGUCUCUCCUUUUUCAGGCGCUGCAUCAUCCUUCUGAAAUCGCGGAGUCCUCCUGCUUGUGUUUACGCCAGGUGAAUUAUUACAACGGUGGAUCAAAUUCAAACACGAUGGCAUACAUUUCUCAAUCAACAAAUCAGAUUAUGUGAACUGUAAUAAAGGUAUAUAUUUUGCGAUCAAUAAAGAAAUUUUCAUGUUUACAACUAAA